GACCACUCUGAUUUCAGAGUUAAGGCCAUACGGACAGCCGGGUCCACUGCCGA
rnacentral:sRNA from 1 species